ensembl:lncRNA
AUGAACAAUCUAUUUUUCAGAUCAUUUAUUAAUCUUUUUUAUGUUAGUUAAUCCUAUCAUUAAAAAUAUUAAUGUUAAUGUUAUUUCACAGUACAUAAACUAUCUUAAAAUAAAACUGUAAAUAAAAAAUGUAUUAGUAAAUAAUGUAUUAAAAUAUUUUUAACUAAGCUUUAAUUAACAUAUAUGUGUGUGUGUUAAAUGAUAUAGUUAAAUAAUAUAGUCUUUAAAAUUAGUACAAGCUAGGUAUUAACAACAUAUUUUUACUGCAUUUGUUUGUGUUAGUAAAAAAAAUAAUAUGUUAAUUAAUGGUACAGUAACUGAUGUACAUUAACUAUAAAUUUUAAAUAAUAAUGUAGUAAUCCAUUUUGAACAUAAUAUUAACUAAGAUUCAUAAAUGCUAUAUAAAUGAUGUACAUGUUAACUUAUAUAAUGUUAAAAACUAAAUCCUUAUUGAAAAGUGUUAGAAUAAUUUUAGAAUAAUAUAUAUAUAUAUAUUGUUCUUUGUGUGUGUGUGUGUGUGAGAAAGACAGAUAGAGAGAGACUCACAUUAAUAAAUGCCAUACAAUUGUUGUUAAUGUAAUUUAAUAUAAUUAAUGUUAAUAACUGAAACCUUAUUGGAAGUGUUACUUAAGUUUUAUAUGUUGUGUUGUGUGUCUCUUGAUGGUUCGGAUUAACCCUUUCAUUGCUGUAUGCCUUAAUUCCAAACUGCUAAAUUAAGUGUGCCCAAUCCUGUUCCUGGUGAUCGACUGUCCUGCAAAGUUCAGCUCCAACUCUAAUCAGUCACACCUACCUUUAAUUUUCAAGCAAUCCUGAAGACAUUCAUUAGUUGGUUCAGGUGUGUUUGAGUAGGGUUGGAGCUAAACUUUACAGGACAGUCGAUCGCCAUUAACAGAGUUGGACACCCCUGAGCUAGACGGUUACUGUGUAUGUGCCGCUGGGCACAGCUUUCCUGAUGCCACCGGGGUGGCGUUUGCGCUGACGGCUCGGGCCCGCCAUCGCUGCUUGCAGCUAUAUUGAUUAUUAUUUUUUUUUUUUUCUUUCUUUAUUCCUCUAAUUUUUUUCCAAGGGUUCGGGGGCUUUUGGGGCCCUUAACAUGCUUAAAAAGUCUUGAAAAUUGGCACACACCUUGGAAUCUGCGGCCAUUAGGGCCGGGCAGAGACUGAUACACGGGCGUGGCACAGGGGCUCUACAGCGCCCCCUGGAAUAUUGAGGGCCAUAUAUCAUCCAUACUUGCACGUAUACAUAUGAAACUCGGUACACAUGUAGAUCUCAUCAAACCAAACAACUUUCGCACUGCAUGUCAUAAACUCCGCCCAACAGGAAGUUGGCUAUU